rnacentral:piRNA from 1 species
UACAGGGUACACUUGAGAUAUUUUGGU